GACCCCAGAAAGACUAUCUGGUUGAUAGGUCGAAGGUGUAAGUGCAGCAAUGUAUUUAGCUUAUCGAUACUAAUAGGUCGAGGACUUGACCAAAUU
rnacentral:rRNA from 1 species